rnacentral:ribozyme from 1 species
GGCAGCCAGCCAAAACACAAUAGCAGCAAAAAAGAUGAUGAUGAUGAAGAAAAACCCUGAGCUGAGCUCUCAAACCAAGGCGCAGUCUUUUUUGCGUUGUUUUUGCCCUUCUAUUUUUCUUUCUUCUUCUUUUUGUUCGUAUGACUUCUUCUUCU